AUGGGCAAAUGUAAUAAAGUUUGGAUUUAAUCAAACUUAACUCAACAAAAACACACACGUACGUGUGUUCCUGCGAUUUCCACAGAGCUUCUAGAGCUCAAACCCUAAACUCCAAGAAUUCACAAAAUUGAAAGGGGAAAUCAAGCCUAAAUCGAAAUCCAAGCAUGGAUUAUUGAUCCUCAUCACAAGAGGAUUACAAGUUUGACGCGUAACAAGCUAGGUGGAAGCUUGGAGUGAAAGCGGGUCAAACAAGUCAAGCAUGGAAGAAAAGAAUAGCUCGGAUGCAAGGAGCGAUUAGCGAUUCAGUUAAUUUCGCCCACACUAAGUGUGAUGAUAAAAGCAAGGUAUAAAUUGGGUCUAUAUGUUGACCCUAGCCAGGUACACCUUGGAUGCCGGAAGACGAUCAAGCUCAGCGAAGAACCGAACACGAUAAUGAUACACGCUUCCGCAUUUUGCUACGUUGUAAUUUUUAAACAACGAAUUCGAUCACGUUAUAUAGAAUAACUUAUGAUUUAUUAAAAGUUUUAAUAAACCCGUAUU